rnacentral:misc_RNA from 1 species
GCCCACUCUAAUGCCGUAGCUGUCGUGUCGGUCCCACCGUUCAAAAACUCUGAGCAUAGCGUCACAAGCUCUGCAUUCGUCGGUCCUGACUUUCUACCUUCAAUUUUAACGUCGAACAAGGUGUCUAGGUAGGAAAACGAGGUUGCGGUCUUGUCGGACCCAGGAUUUUGUAAAACCCUACGACGUUUCUCGAUAAGAGGAACGAGGGUCUCGAUUUGCCUUUUACGAACAUCGUUAACUCUUUUACGUUGCUUAUAACCAACAAAUAAUCUCAAAAUAGGUAGAAAAUCAUCAAUCCUUGGAUCAAGCACAAUCAACACAUCUUUCAUCAUUUGAUCAACUCUUUCAAUCAUUUCUUCAUCAUCCAUCCCAACACCAAAACACAUUGCUAGUAGAAUAUAAAAAACCGCAAAUCGCG